rnacentral:lncRNA from 1 species
CUAGAGAUGCUUUUAUCAGUGAAAUGCAAUUAGGAAUAUGCAACCGAUAUAGUUAUUCUUUUCUCUAUGAUUAAUCAAAUUGGAUCACACCUUGAUUUAGUAAUUCUGCCUUUCAAUUGGUGGAUAAUAAUUGCCACUUGUGAAUUAAGAAUGAGUCUUAUAUAGGGGACAGUUUAAACAAAAUUUUACACUAUCAGGUUUCCAAGAGAUAUUUACAAGUAACCCUCCACAAAAAGUGGCACUUGUAACUUGAAACAAGGCAAGUUACCUGCUACAAUGGUACGUGCAACCUGAUACCAUCGGUGGAUAUUAGUUGAACUCAUUAAGAUUUUUUGUCGUAGAGGAUACUAUUUGAGCAAGUUGAAUGAGAGGAGUGAGUAUUUAGUUUUUAUAUUGCUUUCAGUCUUCCUAGUUUCUUUUUUUGGAGAUACAAAUUACAAAAGAAAACAACUAGUUUUGAUGUCUGAUAUUUUCCAGAUCGUUUCUGUUCUUUUUUGUUUUCCCAAACUUGAGCUAAUGAGGCAAGUUCUGCCUAUUUGAGUUCCACAAAUCAGAGCUACUCUUACUCUCUUAGACCUUUUUAAAGGAGGAAGGUCGCCGUAGAUUCAUAGCUAAAGUAAAAAUAGUCCAACUAUGGUGGAUACGAUUUAGGAGAAGAGCGGAAUGGAUACACAGGGUUUGUAUAGUGUAUUCCGACCAGUUUAGGAUUGUGAAGUAGUUGAUGGUCGAUUGAUUAGUUGACAGCAGCCAGGGAUUUGAAGUCGGAGAUUGGAGAUCGAAUUUGUAGCAUUCUGGCUACUGAGUUAUUGCACAGGACUUUUUGUCAGGAUCUCCAAGGGCAAUGUUUCCCCUCUCCCCCCAAGAGACAAGAAAUGACACUACCACAAACAGAUGCUACUCUGCUACCUUAUGCUGCAUUUCAAGAUAUCCGGAUGUGGAAUGUCAUUUCCUAUUUAUUUUUCUUAUCCACUUUGAUCAGGUUCAGCCUUACCUAUCUUCUUGUUUAUUUGGAUGGUAAUACAUGUUUUUGCAUAUCUAUAUGUUUGGAGAUAGUUACUUACACCCUCCCUAACAAAAAGUGUUAUUAGUUAUUACAGUAGGCCUCAAGUAAGAGGGUUCCUUUUCUUUUUUCUCUAUUCACGCUUCUUGUCAAUAGCAACCAUCUUGAGCAAGUAUAUGUCUGUUACUGCUUACACAGUGAAAUAAUCUCCAUUCAGUUUUAGGCUUUUAAUCAUUACCAUUGUCACCAUUUCUUUAUGGUGUCAGACUUGGUAUAUAUAUGCUUUUGUUUGUGAUGAAUGUGAUGCAUAUAUGAGGUCUCUUUUUCAAGUUGCGAGAUCUCUUACGCAAGCAGCAGUUUUAAAGUCCUUGAUGCCGAGGAUAAUUGUGUGCAUGCAGUUAAUAGGGUCUCUUUUUCAAGUUGCAAGAUCUCUUACACAAGCAGCAG